GAGGUUCGGUGGUUUAAUUUGACAACUUAUCCUCGCCGCAAGACACCUAGAAUACAGGACCGAAGAAAUGGAGAAUUCGUAAAAUUUCAAAAAGAGGAAUCCUUGCUUUACAAAUAGUGCAGUUUCCUGAAUGAAGAACCCGACAGGAUGAAAGUACCCACAGCCAAAAUAGAGGGUGAAAUUGAAGUGCUCGAGGAGAUAAUCGCCAGCAGUCUGGCUCUAACCUGAAUCACCCUAACUCUUCCAGAUGCCAAGGAAGUCUCUAGAAGCUUGGAGUUUCAUCUGUGUCCUGCUUUUGAAUCUACAGAAUACACAGAUCUGUUGAUUUGCUCUUUCUCUUUCACACCCCUAAGCACAAGCACCUUUAAGCACUUGAAGCUUUUGAAAAGAGAAAUAUCCAACACUUACUAACUUUGACAUUCUUCAUUAGUCUCUGGGGUUUUUUUGUUUGGGGGGGUGGUAUUUAUUUAUUUUCCUAGUGGAGGUACUGGGGAUUGAACGCAGGACCUUCUGCCUGCUAGGCACGCACUCUACCACUAAGCUAUACCCUCUCUCUAGUCUUUGUUUUUAAAGUUUUAAUUUACACACUACAAAACCCAUCCGUUGUUUUACUUAUACAAUUAAAUUAUUUUCAAUAAAUCUUCAGAGAUGUGCAACCAUCA